UAGGGAAUCUUCCGCAAUGGACGCAAGUCUGACGGAGCAACGCCGCGUGAGUGAAGAAGGUUUUCGGAUCGUAAAACUCUGUUGUUAGAGAAGAACAAGUGCUAGAGUAACUGUUAGCGCCUUGACGGUAUCUAACCAGAAAGCCACGGCUAACUACGUGCCAGCAGCCGCGGUAAUACGUAGGUGGCAAGCGUUGUCCGGAUUUAUUGGGCGUAAAGCGAGCGCAGGCGGUUCCUUAAGUCUGAUGUGAAAGCCCCCGGCUCAACCGGGGAGGGUCAUUGGAAACUGGGGAACUUGAGUGCAGAAGAGGAGAGUGGAAUUCCAUGUGUAGCGGUGAAAUGCGUAGAUAUAUGGAGGAACACCAGUGGCGAAGGCGACUCUCUGGUCUGUAACUGACGCUGAGGCUCGAAAGCGUGGGUAGCAAACAGGAUUAGAUACCCUGGUAGUCCACGCCGUAAACGAUGAGUGCUAAGUGUUGGAGGGUUUCCGCCCUUCAGUGCUGCAGUUAACGCAUUAAGCACUCCGCCUGGGGAGUACGACCACAAGGUUG
rnacentral:rRNA from 1 species